rnacentral:rRNA from 1 species
UAGCCUUGCGGCCGUACUCCCCAGGCGGAGAACUUAACGCGUUACUACGGCACAGCAGAGGUCAAUAUCCGCUGCACCUAGUUCUCAUCGUUUACGGCGUGGACUACCAGGGUAUCUAAUCCUGUUUGCUCCCCACGCUUUCGCGUCUCAGCGUCAGUAAAUGUCCAGGUGGCCGCCUUCGCCACUGAUGUUCCUCCCGAUAUCUACGAAUUUCACCUCUACACCGGGAAUUCCGCCACCCUCUCCAUUACUCAAGACAAGCAGUUUCGGAUGCAGUUCCUAGGUUAAGCCCAGGGAUUUCACAACCGACUUGCGAGUCCGCCUACACGCGCUUUACGCCCAGUAAAUCCGAGCAACGUUUGCACCCUCUGUAUUACCGCGGCUGCUGGCACAAAGUUAGCCGGUGCUUGCUAAGGAGGUACCGUCAGUACGCAGGCAUUUCCUCCUGCCCAUGUUCGUCUCUCCCCACAGUGCUUUACGACCCGAAGCCUUCAUCACACACGCGGCGUGGCUGGGUCAGGCUUUCGCCCAUUGCCCAAUAUUCCUCA